AUUGAACGCUGGCGGCAUGCCUUACACAUGCAAGUCGAACGGCAGCACGGGUGCUUGCCCCUGGUGGCGAGUGGCGAACGGGUGAGUAAUACAUCUGAACAUGUCCUGUAGUGGGGGAUAGCCCGUCGAAAGCCGGAUUAAUACCGCAUACGAUCUACGGAUGAAAGCGGGGGACCUUCGGGCCUCGCGCUAUAGGGUUGGCCGAUGGCUGAUUAGCUAGUUGGUGGGGUAAAGGCCUACCAAGGCGACGAUCAGUAGCUGGUCUGAGAGGACGACCAGCCACACUGGGACUGAGACACGGCCCAGACUCCUACGGGAGGCAGCAGUGGGGAAUUUUGGACAAUGGGCGAAAGCCUGAUCCAGCAAUGCCGCGUGUGUGAAGAAGGCCUUCGGGUUGUAAAGCACUUUUGUCCGGAAAGAAAUCCUUGGCCCUAAUACGGUCGGGGGAUGACGGUACCGGAAGAAUAAGCACCGGCUAACUACGUG
rnacentral:rRNA from 1 species